GAAUUUUAUAUAAAUUUAUAAUUUAAAUUAAUAAUAAAUUUUUAUUAAAUUUAUAUUUUAUUGGGAGGAUAGUUAAAUUUGUGAAACUUUAAUAAUAAAUAUAAUCAUUAAUUUAUGAAUAGUUAAGUUAAAGUAUGGUUAAUAAAUUUAAAUAGAAUUAAUUACCUUAGGGAUAACAGCGUAAUAUUUUUAGAGAGAUCUUAUUAAUAAAAAUGAUUGC
rnacentral:rRNA from 1 species